GAUGAACGCUGGCGGCGUGCCUAAUACAUGCAAGUCGAGCGAACAGAUGAGGAGCUUGCUCCUCUGACGUUAGCGGCGGACGGGUGAGUAACACGUGGAUAACCUACCUAUAAGACUGGGAUAACUUCGGGAAACCGGAGCUAAUACCGGAUAAUAUAUUGAACCGCAUGGUUCAAUAGUGAAAGACGGUUUUGCUGUCACUUAUAGAUGGAUCCGCGCCGCAUUAGCUAGUUGGUAAGGUAACGGCUUACCAAGGCAACGAUGCGUAGCCGACCUGAGAGGUUGAUCGGCAACACGGAAACGGAGAAACGGCCCAGACCCCAACGGAAGGCAGAAGUAGGGAAUCUUCGGAAAUGGCGAAAGCCUGACGGAGCAACGCCGCGUGAGUGAUGAAGGUCUUCGGAUCGUAAAACUCUGUUAUUAGGGAAGAACAAAUGUGUAAGUAACUAUGCACGUCUUGACGGUACCUAAUCAGAAAGCCACGGCUAACUACGUG
rnacentral:rRNA from 1 species